rnacentral:rRNA from 1 species
AUUGAACGCUGGCGGCAUGCUUUACACAUGCCAGUCGAACGGCAGCGCGGGCUUCGGCCUGGCGGCGAGUGGCGAACGGGUGAGUAAUGCAUCGGAACGUGCCCAGUAGUGGGGGAUAGCCCGGCGAAAGCCGGAUUAAUACCGCAUACGACCUGAGGGUGAAAGCGGGGGACCGAAAGGCCUCGCGCUAUUGGAGCGGACGAUGUCGGAUUAGCUAGUUGGUGGGGUAAAGGCUUACCAAGGCGACGAUCCGUAGCUGGUCUGAGAGGACGACCAGCCACACUGAGACUGAGACACGGCCCAGACUCCGACGGGAGGCAGCAGUGGGGAAUUUUGGACAAUGGGGGCAACCCUGAUCCAGCCAUGCCGCGUGCGGGAAGAAGGCCUUCGGGUUGUAAACCGCUUUUGUUCGGGAAGAAAUCCUCUGGGCUAAUACCCCGGGGGGAUGACGGUACCGGAAGAAUAAGCACCGGCUAACUACGUG